UCGUGGAACGUCUAAAGUCCGCCAUUUUGAAGGAUAAAUGAAGAAAGGCGUGGAGUUACUGGAUAAUGACGUUCAUUAAAUUUAGAGCAAAAGAGACCUUUAAAUACAAUGUAUAAUGAGAUUUUUUUUUCUCCAAAGUGGGAUUGAGAAGGUAUUCAGAUACUUACAAAGAAAUUUAAAGUAGUUGAAGGCCAUAAUGAAUGAUGGAAGAGAUGAAAGAGAAGGUGACUUUGAAGGACAAAGGAGUUUAGAGGUGAUUGUGUGCUCUGGACCUGAAGUAUUUUGAUUGAAUGAAAAAGAAAUGGAAUGAAGAAAUUGAAGAUAUGUUCAUAAAGGCUAGUGUUUGACAUUACAUCACAUUUAAUCCUUAAGAAGAACUCAUGCCUCCCAUUUUACAAGCGUGGAAACGUAUAAUCAGAGAAUGUUUGGAAACAUAUAAGGGAUUAUAGAUGCAAAUCAACUCUGGAUGUUGAUUUUCAAUAUACAUAUUCUGAAUGUGAUUUUAAGUUUUUAAAGUUAGUAACAAGAAUUAAAUUGGAUUUAUAAUCUGUAGACCAUUUAAAGGAAGGGGGCUGCUAAAUGAGAAGAAAAAACCUAUCCAGCUGAAAGAAGGCAGAAAUGGGAACGAGAUAAGCAAAAGAAACCAGAACAUAUGGUAAAAAUGUUUUUCAUGUGAAAAGUCCAAACAUCAGUAUUUACAAUAAAUGUAAAUGGGUUAAUUUCACUCACAAGUUUUAAAAGACAGUUGGGAAUAAAAGGACAAUCCAGCUAUAAAUUGACCAUAAGCAAAUGCUUACAAAACAGGAAGCUUGAAAAUACUGGGCUAAAAUAUUUAAUCAAAUGGUAGCCAAAUGAAAGCAGUAUAGCAAUAUUAAUACAAUUAAAAGUAUCAAAAGAGAAAGGAUUUUAUAUUAAAGAUAAAGUCCAUGAAGACAGUAUGGUCUCCUGAACUGUUAUGAAUCUAAAAACAUGGCCUAUCCUAAGGUGACGCUAUGAACGAUGAGAAAUUUUACAAAUUUGACAAUUUGUUUUCAGAGUAGAAGACAUAAAUAUCUCAGAAAUAUGCAACUCAAAUGUAAAAUAUAAGGGAAGAUAUGGAGAACUUAGAUUAUGUAAUUAAAUAUUAAUUUGAAAAACAACUCAAGGGAAAAAUUCUAUUGAACCUGAAGGAACAUAUACUUUCUAUGUUGAAUUCAUUAUUUCAGAGCUUAGAAAAGAUGGAAAGAUAUCCAAUGCAUUUUAUAAAAGUUAUAAAACCGUUUCACAAAUUCUGAACUGGGCGAGUAUAAGAAAGAAAAACUAUGGUUCAAUUAUACUUAGGAACAUAGAUGGGAAAUUCUUUUAUAAAAUACCAGCAAAUUAAAUCCAGCAGCAUUUUUUUUAGGUAAUUGAUAUGAUUAAUUAGUGUUAUAUGAAUGCAAAGAUACUUCAAGAUUAGAAAAUUACUAAAAUUCACCAUGACAGGUUAAAAAAGAAAAAUCGUAUAUUCACCUUAGGGCUAAAUAGAGCAUGCAGUCACAUUGAACACUUGUGAUCUUAAGAGUAUUUUUAAAUUACAUAGAAAACUAAGAAGAUUAUAAGUGUACACUUAUAUUCAAUACCACCCAUAAUUUUUAAAAAAUGUUUUUAAACUUUCUAAAAACCUAGGAAUAUAAGUUACGUACCACAGAAAAACACCCACACACAUAUGAACGAAAAAACAUCUGCAAAUAACCUAAGUGUACUCCAGUUGGAGAAGGAAUAAAUAAAAUUAUUAACAAUAAAUGGAAUGUAAUGCAUAUAUUGGAAAGUUGUAGAGGAUUUGUAAAGGAGUCAAAGCAGCUAGAUGUUCCAAUAAAAAUAGUUACCAAAAUACAUUAUGAAUGAAAAAGAAAUUUGCAUUUGGUACUAUUUCAAAAUACACAUACAAAAACAACAGUAUAUAUGUUCUGUUAAAUAUGGUUAUUAAAACUUACAGUAAUGGUUACUGGUAUUAGGGGGUGCACACUAGAAUUAGGGGUAUUAGUCAAAGACAACACAUAUUAUUUGUAAUUCUAAUUUUUUAUAAAUACACUUUUUUUGUAUUUACAUUUUUAUCACCUUAUUUUUAAUUGACAGGUAAAACUAUAUGGUGUACAAUAUGAUGUUUUGGUAUAGAUAUACAUUGUGGAAUGGCUAUAUCAAAUUAUUUUACAUAUGCAUUCCCUCACAUACUCAUCUUUUUUUGUGUGGUGAGAACACUUAAAAUCCACUCUUAGCAAUUUUCAAAUAUACAAUAUAUUGUCAUUAACUGUAGUCACCAUGAUGUACAUUAGAUCAUUUGAACUUAUUCCUCCUGUCUAACUGAAAUUUUGUGUCCUUUGACCAACAUCUACCCAAUCUCCCCACUCCCUGUAAUUCUCUCAUUUUAUAAGGUAAAUGUACUCACAUGUUACUUUUAAAAUUUAAUUUUUAACUCUCAUUAAUGGAAUCUGCUACAUUAACAAAUUAAAGGAGAAAAUACAUAUGAUUAUCUCAAUAGAUACACCAAAAAUUUUAUAUACUUCAUUUUCAUUCAUUAUAAAAACUCUUAGCAAACUAUCAAGAAAAGAAAAUUUUAUAACUCUAUAAAGGAUAUCUACCAGAAAUAUACUUAAACAUUGUACUUAAUUGUGAAAUUUUAGAAAAAUUCCCAAUAAAGUCAGGAGCAAGAUAAGGAUGCCCAAUGCUGUCAUUACUAUUCAAGUUACAAUAGAGGUUAAUUGCUAAUGUAAUAAGACAAGAAAAAUAAUACAAUGUAAACAUUGGAAUGGAAGAAAAAGCCCAAAACAUUUGUAGAUAAAUCAAAAGCAUCAGUGACAAAUUAUUAGAAUUAAAACAAGAAUCAAAAAGAUAAUGCAAUAAAAGAUCAACAAACGAAAAUCAAAAGAAUUCCUAUUCCUUAGCAAGCAUCAAUUAGAACAUACAGUAGAAAAAUAAAAACCAUUAAUGAUAAUAAAACAUGUAAUCCCUAAAAAUUAAUACAUGAAAUGAACACAACCUAUAUGAAGAAAAUUAGACUUUGCUGACAUGUAUAAAGAAGAUGAAAAAUUCUGUCUCUUGAUAUGAUCUGAUAAAUAUGUCAUUUCUCCUCUAACAAAACAACAAAUAAAAACAUCAAGACAUAAAUAUAUAAGUAAUGAAGAGAACAAAGAAACAGACCCAGUGUAUAUUAAAAAUUAGUUUGUGAUCGACAUAUUUCUAGUGGGUGUAAAGAAUAAACUAUGCAAUACAUGCUUUGAGGUCUAUUGAUUAUCCAUUAAAAAUGUAUAUAUAAGCCGGGCGCAGUGACUUAUGCCUGUAAUCCCAGCAUUUUGGGAAGCUGAGGUGGCAGAUCACUUCAGGUCAGGAGUUUGAGACCAGCCUGGCCAACAUGGUGAGACCUCAUCGCUACUGUAAAAAUUAGCUGGCUGUUGUGGUGCACAUCCACAAUCCCAGCUACUCGGGAGGCUGAGACAGAAGAAUCACUUGAACCUUAAACCCAGGAAGCAGAGGUUGCAGUGAGCUGAGAUCACGCCACUGCACUCCAGCCUGGAUGACGAAGCAAGACUCUGUCUCAAAAAAAAAAAGUAUAUAAUGUAUAUAUAACCAAGAUUCCUACACCAACAUUCACGAAAAUAAGUUCCAGGUAGAUCAAAAUGCUACAUAUUUUAAAAUCCAAUAAAAUAUUUUAAAAU
rnacentral:lncRNA from 1 species